UGGCUAACUCCUACGGGAGGCAACAGUGGGGAAUUUUGAACAAUGGGGGCAACCCUGAUCCAGCAAUGCCGCGUGAGUGAAGAAGGCCUUCGGGUUGUAAAGCUCUUUUGUCAGGGAAGAAACGGUAGUAGCUAAUAUCUAUUACUAAUGACGGUACCUGAAGAAUAAGCACCGGCUAACUACGUGCCAGCAGCCGCGGUAAUACGUAGGGUGCAAGCGUUAAUCGGAGUUACUGGGCGUAAAGCGUGCGCAGGCGGUUGUGUAAGUCAGAUGUGAAAUCCCCCGGCUCAACCUGGGAAUUGCAUUUGAGACUGAACGGGUAAAGUGUAUCAGAGGGGGGUAGAAUUCCACGUGUAGCAGUGAAAUGCGUAGAUAUGUGGAGGAAUACCGAUGGCGAAGGCAGCCCCCUGGGAUAACACUGACGCUCAUGCACGAGAGCGUGGGGAGCAAACAGGAUUAGAUACCCCGUGUAGUCCAGCUGG
rnacentral:rRNA from 1 species